UAAACAAUAGCAUCAAUGCAUUUUGAUUUCGACUCAAGAAGAGGAGUAUUCCAUUGUUUAA
rnacentral:tRNA from 1 species